UAUCUUUAGAAUGUGAUUCAAGCGCAGUCCUUCUGUGAAUAAGAGUCAAGGGUACUUUUGCUCUUUUAAUUCUAUGCUUUGAUGUCACAUGGGAAAGACUCGGAACAAGUUUAAUACUGCUCUGCUAAAAAACAGAGAAAAACUGUAAAAAUGUUUUAGAUUGCGCAAAACGAUGCGCAAAAGGUGUUUCCUUUCAUACUUGAAGAUAAACUAAUGAAUUCAAGGUAUCGACAGCCAUUUUUGUUGAUAUUUCGGCUGUGAUGAGGCAGGACUGCUCAUUUGUAAUCCAAGUUACAGAUGCUUUCAUAAUAUAAGGCCUAAUGAUGGCACCAAAGUCGGCAAAGAU